GCUAGACGAGCGGCCGCGCAGAGGCCGGGCCCGCGCCGUCCCCGCGCUCGCCCGCCCGUCCGCCCGUCCGCCCACCCGGCGGCUCCCAUUGUGCCCCAGGCCCGCGCCGCUCCGCCGUCCUGUGACCGCCUGCGCCCCGCAGCGCGCCCGACGGCCGGCCGCUGGAAGUUCGGGCCCGCGGCGCACGCCCUGCCGCCCCGGGAUGCACGUGAACUUGGAGAAAGUCUCGGGGCGCGCCGGCGCAGACCUCCGCGGCUGGGCGUGGGCGCCCCUGGCCCCGCGCGCUUUCGUUUUCGUCUGGGACAAAGGUCCCUCGCGGCGCAGGUCGCGGACGUGGAGGCAGUGCCCUGCGGGCCACUCAGCGGGGAGGUCCGGUCGUUCAGUCAAGGGAAGCCGGAGCCUGGAGAAGACGAGCCGCGCGGUCGGAGGCGCGGUGCGGGACCAGGACAGUGGGGCCUGGCCGUGCGCUUCGCCCUGGCGGUCCAGGAGCUGUCUCGCCCUCCGAAGAGUUACGGGAGGUGGCACUGCUUUUGCUCUCUGCCCUUUCGACACGUGAAGGAGAGAAUCAUUCGGAACCCAGGACUCAGACCGGUGGCCGAGGGCCUGUGCAGCCGCGAGCACGACAGCGCAGCGCUGGCCGCGUCCGCGCGCGUUCCUCCGACAAGGGCAGAGCAGUCGACCAGCGCGCCCCAGUCUCGAUCGGGUUCAAGGCGACUCUUGAGGACGGUGGCUGACACACGGGCCCAGCCGGCAGCCCUGGGGAAUUUGUGGGGAGCAAGAAAGGGGUGAAGGAAUGCACGUUUGCCGUAAUUACAGGGUUUUAAGGUGUGGGGCUUUGAAAGUACAAUCCUGCAUGGCCUUACUGUGAAUGGAUGGGCACUUUGUCUCGGUCCGGAUGCAGGAGUCCUGCCUUUAGAGGCAGCUCAGAAGCCCUGUGGAUGGAUCGUACGAGCGCCCCGGCCCAGCCCACUUGCAGCCAGUGGUAGGAGGCUUGCCGAGCAGAGAUGUGACCGGCCGAGACUGCGGUUAUUAUCGCCAAAUGAGACUGGUAGUUGUGGUUAGAAAUGGUGUGCCCGGAACACACAGAGUAAAGCCCAAUUUUUCUCUUUCUUUUUUGGGAGUAAUAGAAUUUUCCCUUGAGAUUAAAGGAAGGAGGCUGUCCCGAGGCCUUUGGUUUCCAGCGCCGGGGCUGGGUUUUCCUGUGAAUCACCGUUCCUUGAUUCUGAGAUUUCGGAGGGUACGAAGAAGAGCAGCUAGCUGAAAGAUUUACCUGCUGAUUUGGGCUUCUUAAAUCUAGAUUCGCCUUUUAUGUGUUUAAGAGCGAUAUUUACAUUCAAAUCAGCCUUUUAUAAUUGCAUUUUAAAUUAUAAUGAAAUGAUGGAGCCGGGGCUGCGGUCUUCCCUAGGUUUUUACAGUACGAGCCACUCUGCUGGGCUGCAUGUCACAUUC
rnacentral:lncRNA from 1 species